UACGGAGGGGGCUAGCGUUGUCCGGAAUUACUGGGCAUAAAGCGCACGUAGGCGGUCCGUUAAGUCAUGUGUGAAAUCCCCCGGCUCAACCGGGGAAUUGCGCCUGAUACUGGCGGGCUAGAGGUCGAUAGGGGUGAGCGGAACUCCAGGUGGAGCGGUGAAAUGCGUAGAUAUCUGGAGGAACACCGGUGGCGAAAGCGGCUCACUGGAUCGAAACUGACGCUGAGGUGCGAAAGCUAGGGUAGCAAACGGG
rnacentral:rRNA from 1 species